GCGAAGCCGCGAGGCGGAGNAAACCCCAGAAAUAAAGUCCCAGUUCGGACUGCAGCCUGCAACUCGGCUGCACGAAGCCGGAAUCGCUAGUAAUCGCGCAUCAGCCACGGCGCGGUGAAUACGUUCCCGGGCCUUGUACACACCGCCCGUCAAGCCAUGGGAGCCGGGGGUACCUGAAGCGCGUGACCGCAAGGAGCGCCCUAAGGUAAAACCGGUGACUGGGGCUAAGUCGUAACAAGGUAUC
rnacentral:rRNA from 1 species